CGAAAGCCUGACGCAGCGACGCCGCGUGAGGGAGGAAGGCCUUCGGGUUGUAAACCUCUUUCAGGAGGGACGAAGCUACUCGGGUUAAUAGCCCAGAGGGUGACGGUACCUCCAGAAGAAGCCCCGGCUAACUACGUGCCAGCAGCCGCGGUAAUACGUAGGGGGCAAGCGUUGUCCGGAUUUACUGGGCGUAAAGCGCGUGUAGGCGGCCGCACAGGUCCGUUGUGAAAACUGGAGGCUUAACCUCCAGACGUCGACGGAAACCGUGUGGCUAGAGUCCGGAAGAGGAGAGUGGAAUUCCUGGUGUAGCGGUGAAAUGCGCAGAUAUCAGGAAGAACACCAAUGGCGAAGGCAGCUCUCUGGGACGGUACUGACGCUGAGACGCGAAAGCGUGGGGAGCGAACAGGAUUAGAUACCCUGGUAGUCCACGCCGUAAACGAUGGGUGCUAGGUGUGGGAGGUGUCGACUCCUUCCGUGCCGUAGCUAACGCAUUAAGCACCCCGCCUGGGGAGUACGGCCGCAAGGCUA
rnacentral:rRNA from 1 species